rnacentral:lncRNA from 7 species
ACGUGGGAAGCACGCGGGGGAAGGAGUCCAGCGGAGGAACGCCAUCAGACAGUGUCCGAUCCGAACUCUAGCAUGAGGAAGAGGAAGAAGCUGACAGCGCGGGCCCGGUUGUCAGUGGAAGCAAGGCACGACCCACUUGUCGGUGGUCGAGACAGAAGAGGGAGUGCGCGCUUUCAGCAAAAACAGGCUACGCGAUACUGGGCCUCAAGCUGCUGGGCUACGGCCGCGGACCGCUAGAGCUGACCACACGCUUCACCAGGCUUAGCACGGAGAGAAAAGAAGAGAUGGGCUGCGUUUUGGUGUGGAGCUGGGCUGUAGAAACAACUUCACUGGAAGACUGCGCGUAAAGAGGAUGGGGAAGCAGGCCGCGGCUUUGGGCUUCCAGGUAAGCUUUAGUUUUCCUUUCAUUUUUAUUUUCUGUUUUCAAAUCCAUUUCCUAAAUUCAAAU